rnacentral:rRNA from 1 species
GACGAACGCUGGCGGCGUGCUUAACACAUGCAAGUCGAACGGAAAGGCCCUGCUUUUGUGGGGUGCUCGAGUGGCGAACGGGUGAGUAACACGUGAGUAACCUGCCCUUGACUUUGGGAUAACUUAAGGAAACUGGGGCUAAUACCGGAUAGGAGCUCCUGCUGCAUGGUGGGGGUUGGAAAGUUUCGGCGGUUGGGGAUGGACUCGCGGCUUAUCAGCUUGUUGGUGGGGUAGUGGCUUACCAAGGCUUUGACGGGUAGCCGGCCUGAGAGGGUGACCGGCCACAUUGGGACUGAGAUACGGCCCAGACUCCUACGGGAGGCAGCAGUGGGGAAUAUUGCACAAUGGGCGGACGCCGGAUGCAGCAACGCCGCGUGCGGGAUGACGGCCUUCGGGUUGUAAACCGCUUUCGCCUGUGACGAAGCUUGAGUGACGGUAAUGGGUAAAGAAGCACCGGCUAACUACGUG